rnacentral:lncRNA from 1 species
CCAACAAACCUAACACAGUUGGUUUUCCCUUUGGCUCACCAACAAACCUUACACAGUUGGUUUUCCCUUUGGCUCACCAACAAACCUUAACCCCUUGAUUCAAUCCCUUGAUUGAAUCAAGUUACAAGAUAUUAAAACAAAGUAUAAAACAAAACAAAGCUUCUUAAACAAGCAAAUAUGACAAUAUAAACAAAUAGAGUAAAGAGAAGCCCUCAAACGAGUUUUGAAGAUGAAAGAGCUUGGCUUUUUCUUUACUUGACCCUCUUCUGAUUUGGCACGAAGUAGAGGAUCACCGAGGCAGCACACGGAUGGAGAGGAAGCUUUGGGAUUCACUUGGAUGCUUUUCUUCUCUCUAUUUUACUUUGAAUGGCCCUUUUGUGCUUAUGGGAGAUUUUCCUUGUAAUCUCUUUGGAAUCUCUUUCCUAAAUGAUCUCUCCCACUUCCAUGAGUUCUCCCCUAGCUCUCUUCUUGUUUUUAUAGCUUUAGAUGGCGUGGAAACAAGAAUAUAGCCGUUAGAGACAAGAAAAAGAGCCGUUGGACACAGUCUGCAUUUUCUGACAAUGUUACCGUUGGGAUCGGAGUCGACUCGCGCGAUCAGGAG